rnacentral:rRNA from 1 species
UACGUAGGGUGCAAGCGUUAAUCGGAAUUACUGGGCGUAAAGCGUGCGCAGGCGGUUGUGCAAGACAGAUGUAAAAUCCCCGGGCUUAACCUGGGAAUUGCAUUUGUGACUGCACGGCUAGAGUGUGUCAGAGGGGGGUAGAAUUCCACGUGUAGCAGUGAAAUGCGUAGAUAUGUGGAGGAAUACCGAUGGCGAAGGCAGCCCCCUGGGAUAACACUGACGCUCAUGCACGAAAGCGUGGGGAGCAAACAGG